rnacentral:sRNA from 1 species
UAAAGUAUGACCAAUGGUGCAACCAAGUU